CCUACGGUGGCAGCAGUGGGGAAUAUUGGACAAUGGGCGCAAGCCUGAUCCAGCAAUGCCGCGUGUGUGAAGAAGGCCUGCGGGUUGUAAAGCACUUUAAGCAGGCAAGAAGGCUUCAGGGUUAAUACCCUUGGGGAUUGACGUUACCUGCAGAAUAAGCACCGGCUAACUCCGUGCCAGCAGCCGCGGUAAUACGGAGGGUGCGAGCGUUGAGCGGAAUUACUGGGCGUAAGGCGCGCGAAGGCGGUUGUGAAAGCCCCGGGCUUAACCUGGGAACUGCAGUGGAUACUGGAAGCUAGAGUAUGGUAGAGGAGAGUGGAAUUUCCGGUGUAGCAGUGAAAUGCGUAGAGAUCGGAAGGAACACCAGUGGCGAAGGCGGCUCUCUGGACUAAUACUGACGCUGAGGUGCGAAAGCGUGGGGAGCAAACAGGAUUAGAUACCCGGGUAGUC
rnacentral:rRNA from 1 species